rnacentral:tRNA from 3 species
CAAUAGCUCAGUUGGAUAGAGCAACGGCCUUCUAAGCCGUGUGCCCGGGGUUCGAAUCCCUGUUG